UAGGGAAUCUUCGGCAAUGGACGAAAGUCUGACCGAGCAACGCCGCGUGAGUGAAGAAGGUUUUCGGAUCGUAAAACUCUGUUGUUAGAGAAGAACAAGGACGUUAGUAACUGAACGUCCCCUGACGGUAUCUAACCAGAAAGCCACGGCUAACUACGUGCCAGCAGCCGCGGUAAUACGUAGGUGGCAAGCGUUGUCCGGAUUUAUUGGGCGUAAAGCGAGCGCAGGCGGUUUCUUAAGUCUGAUGUGAAAGCCCCCGGCUCAACCGGGGAGGGUCAUUGGAAACGGGGAGACUUGAGUGCAGAAGAGGAGAGUGGAAUUCCAUGUGUAGCGGUGAAAUGCGUAGAGAUAUGGAGGAACACCAGUGGCGAAGGCGGAUCUCUGGUCUGUAACAGAAGCUGAGGCUCGAAAGCGUGGGGAGCAAACAGG
rnacentral:rRNA from 1 species